rnacentral:rRNA from 1 species
UACGUAGGAGGCAAGCGUUGUCCGGAGUACUGGGCGUAAAGCGCACGCAGGCGGUCUUGUCAGUCUGUAGGGACAGGGCACAGCUCAACUGUGUCAGGCUUAUGGAAACUGCAAGACUUGAGGGCUUCAGAGGGAUGGGGAAUUCCGGGUGGAGUGGUGAAAUGCGUAGAGAUCCGGAAGAACACCAAAGGCGAAGGCACCAUCCUGGGGAGUCACUGACGCUCGGGUGCGAAAGCUAGGGGAGCGAACGGG